rnacentral:rRNA from 1 species
CAGUAGCCGCGGUAAUACAGAGGGUGCAAGCGUUAAUCGGAAUUACUGGGCGUAAAGCGCGCGUAGGUGGUUUGUUAAGUUGAAUGUGAAAUCCCCGGGCUCAACCUGGGAACUGCAUCCAAAACUGGCAAGCUAGAGUAGGGCAGAGGGUGGUGGAAUUUCCUGUGUAGCGGUGAAAUGCGUAGAUAUAGGAAGGAACACCAGUGGCGAAGGCGACCACCUGGGCUCAUACUGACACUGAGGUGCGAAAGCGUGGGGAGCAAACAGGAUUAGAUACCCCUGUAGUCCCUGUCUCUUAUAC